rnacentral:rRNA from 1 species
AUUGAACGCUGGCGGCAGGCCUAACACAUGCAAGUCGGACGGUAGCACAGAGGAGCUUGCUCCUCGGGUGACGAGUGGCGGACGGGUGAGUAAUGUCUGGGGAUCUGCCCGAUAGAGGGGGAUAACCACUGGAAACGGUAGCUAAUACCGCAUAACGUCGCAAGACCAAAGUGGGGGACCUUCGGGCCUCACACCAUCGGAUGUGCCCAGAUGGGAUUAGCUGGUAGGCGGGGUAACGGCCCACCUAGGCGACGAUCCCUAGCUGGUCUGAGAGGAUGACCAGCCACACUGGAACUGAGACACGGUCCAGACUCCUACGGGAGGCAGCAGUGGGGAAUAUUGCACAAUGGGCGCAAGCCUGAUGCAGCCAUGCCGCGUGUAUGAAGAAGGCCUUCGGGUUGUAAAGUACUUUCAGCGGGGAGGAAGGUGCUGAGGUUAAUAAGCUCAGCAAUUGACGUUACCCGCAGAAGAAGCACCGGCUAACUCCGUGCCAGCAGCCGCCGUAA